rnacentral:rRNA from 1 species
GAUGAACGUUGGCGGCGUGCCUAAUACAUGCAAGUCGAACGAAGACUGUAGUAAUACUGUCUUAGUGGCGAACGGGUGAGUAACGCGUGGGUGACCUGCCCCGAAGUGUGGGAUAACAGUCCGAAAGGAUUGCUAAUACUGCAUAAUAUCCAAGAGAUUAGAUGCUUUUGGAUUAAAGGAGUAAUUCGCUUCGGGAGGGGCCCGCGUCCCAUCAGCUAGUUGGUAAGGUAAUGGCUUACCAAGGCGAUGACGGGUAGGGGACCUGAGAGGGUGGCCCCCCACAAUGGAACUGAAACACGGUCCAUACACCUACGGGUGGCAGCAGUAGGGAAUAUUAGUAAUGGGCGAAAGCCUGAACUAGCAACGCCGCGUGUGCGAAGAAGGCCCUCGGGUCGUAAAGCACUUUUUGAGAGGAUGAGGAAGGACGGUACUCUCAGAAUAAGUCUCGGCUAACUACGUG